rnacentral:rRNA from 1 species
GGGUUGUGAGGUUAAGCGACUAAGCGUACACGGUGGAUGCCCUGGCAGUCAGAGGCGAUGAAGGGCGUGCUAAUCUGCGAUAAGCGCCGGUAAGGUGAUAUGAACCGUUAUAACCGGCGAUACCCGAAUGGGGAAACCCAGUGUGACUCGUCACACUAUCAUUAACUGAAUCCAUAGGUUAAUGAGGCGAACCGGGGGAACUGAAACAUCUAAGUACCCCGAGGAAAAGAAAUCAACCGAGAUUCCCCCAGUAGCGGCGAGCGAACGGGGAGGAGCCCAGAGCCUGAAUCAGCAUGUGUGUUAGUGGAAGCGUCUGGAAAGGCGCGCGAUACAGGGUGACAGCCCCGUACACAAAAGCGCAUGUGCUGUGAGCUCGAUGAGUAGGGCGGGACACGUGGUAUCCUGUCUGAAUAUGGGGGGACCAUCCUCCAAGGCUAAAUACUCCUGACUGACCGAUAGUGAACCAGUACCGUGAGGGAAAGGCGAAAAGAACCCCGGCGAGGGGAGUGAAAAAGAACCUGAAACCGUGUACGUACAAGCAGUGGGAGCCCCACCACUAAGCCAGUGGUGAACUCCACAUCCGCAUCCUUUGCUGAGGAUACGGUUAACGGAGCGAAAGCGACGUUCAACCGCAAAACAAGCAGAGGGGGCUUAGUGGUGGGGUGACUGCGUACCUUUUGUAUAAUGGGUCAGCGACUUAUAUUCUGUAGCAAGGUUAACCGUAUAGGGGAGCCGGAGGGAAACCGAGUCUUAAUUGGGCGUUAAGUUGCAGGGUAUAGACCCGAAACCCGGUGAUCUAGCCAUGGGCAGGUUGAAGGUUGGGUAACACUAACUGGAGGACCGAACCGACUAAUGUUGAAAAAUUAGCGGAUGACCUGUGGCUGGGGGUGAAAGGCCAAUCAAACCGGGAGAUAGCUGGUUCUCCCCGAAAGCUAUUUAGGUAGCGCCUCGUGAAUUCAUCUCCGGGGGUAGAGCACUGUUUCGGCUAGGGGGCCAUCCCGGCUUACCAACCCGAUGCAAACUGCGAAUACCGGAGAAUGUUAUCACGGGAGACACACGGCGGGUGCUAACGUCCGUCGUGAAGAGGGAAACAACCCAGACCGCCAGCUAAGGUCCCAAAGUCAUGGUUAAGUGGGAAACGAUGUGGGAAGGCCCAGACAGCCAGGAUGUUGGCUUAGAAGCAGCCAUCAUUUAAAGAAAGCGUAAUAGCUCACUGGUCGAGUCGGCCUGCGCGGAAGAUGUAACGGGGCUAAACCAUGCACCGAAGCUGCGGCAGCGACGCUGAUGCGUUGUUGGGUAGGGGAGCGUUCUGUAAGCCUGCGAAGGUGACCUGUGAGGGUUGCUGGAGGUAUCAGAAGUGCGAAUGCUGACAUAAGUAACGAUAAAGCGGGUGAAAAGCCCGCUCGCCGGAAGACCAAGGGUUCCUGUCCAACGUUAAUCGGGGCAGGGUGAGUCGACCCCUAAGGCGAGGCCGAAAGGCGUAGUCGAUGGGAAACGGGUUAAUAUUCCCGUACUUGGUGUUACUGCGAAGGGGGGACGGAGAAGGCUAUGUUGGCCGGGCGACGGUUGUCCCGGUUUAAGCGUGUAGGUGUGUGUUCCAGGUAAAUCCGGUUCACUUUAACACUGAGGCGUGAUGACGAGGCACUACGGUGCUGAAGCAACAAAUGCCCUGCUUCCAGGAAAAGCCUCUAAGCAUCAGGUAACAUCAAAUCGUACCCCAAACCGACACAGGUGGUCAGGUAGAGAAUACCAAGGCGCUUGAGAGAACUCGGGUGAAGGAACUAGGCAAAAUGGUGCCGUAACUUCGGGAGAAGGCACGCUGACACGUAGGUGAAGUGAUUUACUCAUGGAGCUGAAGUCAGUCGAAGAUACCAGCUGGCUGCAACUGUUUAUUAAAAACACAGCACUGUGCAAACACGAAAGUGGACGUAUACGGUGUGACGCCUGCCCGGUGCCGGAAGGUUAAUUGAUGGGGUCAGCGCAAGCGAAGCUCCUGAUCGAAGCCCCGGUAAACGGCGGCCGUAACUAUAACGGUCCUAAGGUAGCGAAAUUCCUUGUCGGGUAAGUUCCGACCUGCACGAAUGGCGUAAUGAUGGCCAGGCUGUCUCCACCCGAGACUCAGUGAAAUUGAACUCGCUGUGAAGAUGCAGUGUACCCGCGGCAAGACGGAAAGACCCCGUGAACCUUUACUAUAGCUUGACACUGAACAUUGAGCCUUGAUGUGUAGGAUAGGUGGGAGGCUUUGAAGUGUGGACGCCAGUCUGCAUGGAGCCGACCUUGAAAUACCACCCUUUAAUGUUUGAUGUUCUAACGUGGACCCGUAAUCCGGGUUGCGGACAGUGUCUGGUGGGUAGUUUGACUGGGGCGGUCUCCUCCUAAAGAGUAACGGAGGAGCACGAAGGUUGGCUAAUCCUGGUCGGACAUCAGGAGGUUAGUGCAAUGGCAUAAGCCAGCUUGACUGCGAGCGUGACGGCGCGAGCAGGUGCGAAAGCAGGUCAUAGUGAUCCGGUGGUUCUGAAUGGAAGGGCCAUCGCUCAACGGAUAAAAGGUACUCCGGGGAUAACAGGCUGAUACCGCCCAAGAGUUCAUAUCGACGGCGGUGUUUGGCACCUCGAUGUCGGCUCAUCACAUCCUGGGGCUGAAGUAGGUCCCAAGGGUAUGGCUGUUCGCCAUUUAAAGUGGUACGCGAGCUGGGUUUAGAACGUCGUGAGACAGUUCGGUCCCUAUCUGCCGUGGGCGCUGGAGAACUGAGGGGGGCUGCUCCUAGUACGAGAGGACCGGAGUGGACGCAUCACUGGUGUUCGGGUUGUCAUGCCAAUGGCACUGCCCGGUAGCUAAAUGCGGAAGAGAUAAGUGCUGAAAGCAUCUAAGCACGAAACUUGCCCCGAGAUGAGUUCUCCCUGAGACUUUAGGUCUCCUGAAGGAACGUUGAAGACGACGACGUUGAUAGGCCGGGUGUGUAAGCGCAGCGAUGCGUUGAGCUAACCGGUACUAAUGAACCGUGAGGCUUAACCUUACAACGCCGAAG